rnacentral:rRNA from 1 species
CCUACGGGGGGCUGCAGUGGGGAAUAUUGCACAAUGGGGGAAACCCUGAUGCAGCGACGCCGCGUGAAGGAAGAAGGUUUUCGGAUCGUAAACUUCUAUCAGCAGGGAAGAAGAAAGUGACAGUACCUGACUAAGAAGCACCGGCUAACUACGUGCCAGCAGCCGCGGUAAUACGUAGGGGGCAAGCGUUCACCGGUAUAACUGGGUGUAAAGGGUGCGUAGGCGGUAGGGCAAGACAGAUGUUAAAGCCCGGGGCACAACCCCGGGAUUGCAUUUGAAACUGUCGUACUAGAGUGCAGGGAAGGAAAGCGGAAUUCCUAGUGGAGCGGUGAAAUGCGUGGAUAUUAGGAAGAACGCCAGUGGAGAAGGCUGCUUUCUGGACUGUAACUGACGCUGAGGCACGAGAGCGUGGGGAGCGAACAGUAUGAGAGACCCGAGUAGUC